AUUGAACGCUGGCGGCAGGCCUAACACAUGCAAGUCGAGCGGAGCGGCGGACGGGUGAGUAAUGCCUAGGAAUCUGCCUGGUAGUGGGGGAUAACGUCCGGAAACGGGCGCUAAUACCGCAUACUAUCAGAUGAGCCUAGGUAGGAUUAGCUAGUUGGCGGGGUAAAGGCCUACCAGGGCGACGAUCCGUAACUGGUCUGAGAGGAUGAUCAGUCACACUGGAAAUGAGACACGGUCAAGUCUCCUACGGGAGGCAGCAGUGGGGAAUAUUGGACAAUGGGCGAAAGCCUGGUCCAGCAAUGCCGCGUGUGUGAAGAAGUUCUUCGGAUUGUAAAGCACUUUAAGUUGGGAGGCGUUACCAACAGAAUAAGCACCGGCUAGCUUCGUGCCAGCGGCCGGGGUAAUUC
rnacentral:rRNA from 1 species